rnacentral:rRNA from 1 species
CACGUAGUUAGCCGUGACUUCCUCGCCGGGUACCAUCACUCUGAAAGCUUUCUACUCUUUCUGCCUUUUGUCCCCGGCAACAGAGCUUUACGAUCCGAAGACCUUCCUCGCUCACGCGGCAUUGCUCGUUCAGGGUUCCCCCCAUUGACGAAAAUUCCCUACUGCUGCCUCCCGCAGGAGUCUGGGCCGUGUCUCAGUCCCAGUGUGGCCGUCCGCCCUCUCAGGCCGGCUAUGCAUCGUCGCCUUGGUGAGCCGUUACCUCUCCAACCAGCUAAUGCACCGCAGGUCCAUCUGCAUGCGGGACUCUUGUCCCCUUUUCCAAAAGAGAUGCCUCCUCUUUGCUCAUCCGGUAUCAGCUUCCGUUUCCAGAACGUUCUCCCGCUCAUGCAGGCAGGUUCCCUACGUGUUACUCACCCGUUCGCCACUCAUAUCCGAAGAUACUCCGUUCGACUUGCAUGUAUUAGGCAUGCCGCAGCCGUUCACUCCCCGA